rnacentral:rRNA from 1 species
CAGUCGCCGCGUAAUACGAAGGGUGCAAGCGUUAAUCGGAAUUACUGGGCGUAAAGCGCGCGUAGGUGGUUUGGUAAGAUGGAUGUGAAAUCCCCGGGCUCAACCUGGGAACUGCAUCCAUAACUGCCUGACUAGAGUACGGUAGAGGGUGGUGGAAUUUCCUGUGUAGCGGUGAAAUGCGUAGAUAUAGGAAGGAACACCAGUGGCGAAGGCGACCACCUGGACUGAUACUGACACUGAGGUGCGAAAGCGUGGGGAGCAAACAGGAUUAGAUACCCCUGUAGUCCCUGUCUCUUAUACC